rnacentral:lncRNA from 1 species
CCAUUGUGAACCCCAAUUCGUGAGUGAUUGAUAUUCAGUUGUGCCUUCAUCUUGUUCUUGCUUGUUCUUCGAUUGCUUGCGGGAAUAGAACCUCGUGUUCAGGUUGAUCUUGCCAUCAGCAAGGUCAAUAACCAUUUGGAGUUGGUUCAGCGAUUGCUAAGGCGCCACGACCUGUUCGUUUGUAGUCGGAUCGCAAGAGUCACCUCCUCCACAAAUCGAAGUUAUCCCUCUCACCGAAAGAUCGGGCACUCCAGCUCUAUCAAGUGGUAUCAGGUUUCAGGUUGUUCGGUGAGAUCUACCCCCUUUAUUUGUAGUUUUGUUCAUCGUCCUAUCGUCCACCAGAAAAGCCACCAAAAAAAAAGUUUCAGGUUAGAACCACUGUCCAAGACCUUUUGAGCCUUUGCAUCUUUCAUUCAGUUUAUUGCUUUGUUGAGUUUUUGGUUGCAUCGCUGUGUCGUGUUGCUGGUCUUGGCGUCUAGUCCUUUAGAGUUUUGAGUUCCUGUCAUGUAUUAGUUCACAUCUUUGCACUUGAUCCUCCUUUUCCUUUGUCCUCCUUGUUCCUGUAAUCUUUCCCACGUCAUAGACCCCCUUGUGCACGCCACAUUUCCACCUACAAAAGGAAAGUAAUUUAUUUCGGGUUUUGUUUUAUCUCGGCAAGGAAACAGACCUUAACUGUUGCAUCCGUAGUCCGUUUGGGAAGUUUAGGU